GGAGGCUGGCGGGGGGGGGGGCUGCCUGCCUGCCUGCCUGUCUUGGCCCGUGUCCCUAAGGAGCAGGACCCUCGUGGUGCUUGAUGCAUACCCCUCAAUAUGUAGAAGGCAGCGGCGAGCAAGAGGCAGAACCUGACCUCUACUUGACCAGACAUUGUUAUGAGAUCCUGAACAGGCACCAGCCAUGUGACCUUGUUUCUCUGGAGUAUGUGCCCAGCACACCCACCCACCACUUAGGAUACAAACCUGACCCCUGCCUGGGAUGGAACAUCAGAUUCUGAGAGCUGAAGCAACCAAUGUAGUGGAGAAUUGGCUCUCUAAAUUCUGGGACCUUUUGAUCCAUGAAGAAGCUCUUAUUGCCAAGGCAAUGUUGCAUCAGGACCACCUGGAGAACCUUAUCUCAACAUGGCUGCAUUAUCUCUUUUUGUGAAGGUAACCCAGAGGAGAACUGGGGGGUUGGAAGAGUACUCAGAAGUCAUGUAAUCCAGACACCUUGCUAACGCAGUAAAUCCACCGCUAGAGCAUACUUGAUCUGCAGCCCUCCAAACCAGGAGUCUGUUGCAUUGUUGAACAGCUUGUACUGUCAGGCAAAGUUCCCUUUCUUGCCAUGUGAAGUUGUUGGUGUGGGUCUUACAUGCUGGAGCAAAAGAGAACAAUUUGCUCCACCAUCUAUGUGGCAGCCCAUAAGCCAGAGUGCUACUCUUCAGUCUGCAUUUAUGAAUAUAUACUUGGCUGUAACUUUAUGAGGAGUGAUAACAACAGCAGAAAAAGAGACAAACUUAUAAAGAGGAGAAACAGGA